rnacentral:lncRNA from 1 species
AAAAACAUGAAAUGUAACAGGCCAAGCUUUCUUCAGCUGGGGUAAAUCAGCAUUUCUCCCUUAAACUCUCUGGAACUGUGCCUAUUUAUAUCUAAGAAUCUAGACAGUUAUCUGAGCUUGCCAGCUCAAUGUAGGGAGAAACAUAGCUUUAACCAAUUAAAUGUUCGUUAGAGGCAAGACAGAAAGGAUAGAAAAAGGAUAGAAAAACUCAGAACCAGUGAGCACUUAUGCUCUUGUUCUUUUACCAAAUGAAAUGUUAACAUUUUGCGGAAUGCCUUUUGCUGCAUGGGUAAAUGUAAACCCUACUGUCAAUACUGUUUUAGAGCUACUGGGGGGUUAUUUUACAAAUGGGUUUAGAGAUUUUUGGUGUACUGGUGUGUCAGUCUUCUUAGCAUAGCACAGUUUCGUCAGUAAAAAAGUGCCUUACUCUUAUCACUAAACCUACAAGAGUUAUAGAUGUGAUACUGAUACCUUAAUCUGUAAAACUGCUUCACUGUAGUUCCGAACUAACAUACCAUGGUACAAAAUCACAUAUACACAAGACCAAACCUGCAACCUACCUCUAACAUUAAUCUGACAGUGAACAACUGGAAAUCAGAAAAGGACAGGAACAGUUAGCCCAAGUGUAAUUUCCAUGAUAUGCCUUGUAAGCUGAAAUUUACCUCUGUAUAAAGAAAUAGCAAAGAGACAGCCAUGGUUCAGGAGUCUUAUUUAAAUUGCGGUCAGAUUCACUACCGUCUGGCCCUCCGCAGUCACCCUGGAUUCAUGCCCUGCUACUACAAAGAAUAUAAACCCAUCUGCGCACAAAGUGACAUUUACCCUUGCGUUGGUUUUAUCACUUGUGGUGUUCUCCCCUUGUGUUGGAACACCGCCAUUCUGACUCAUGCGGUUGUACUGGCAAACCUGGGCUUGCAUACGUUACAAACUGAUCUCGAGAGGAGUGUAAGAAGGUAUCUCAUAAUCUUGAAGCAAAACUCUUUCAAAAGAGGAAAAUGCUGCUUCCAGUAUACCGUUCUCCAGCUGAGCUGAGAGUGACUUCCCAAGAUAAGACCCUGCUGUUACUCAGCUUCUAAAUAAGGCUCUGAUUUCACAAGCUGAACAAAUCUGGACUGACUCCAUACUGGAUUAACAGACUUCUAGCAAAAACAAGUUUUGCUACAGGAAACGUGGUGACAUAACAAGUUCAGCUUGGUCCUGAUCUCAAUACAGUCAUCAGAGGACACGUGGGUACUUUGAGUAGGAACAGAGGUGCUAUGCACUCUCCUCUGGGUGAAUCUUUUCUGCUUCUCUGCAUCAAAAUGGAUGAAGUUACACUGCACCUGCUUAAAGCUUGCAGCUUUACAGCUACUGUUCGUCCUCAUUUCCUACCCAGGGCUGCUAGGGCUGGCUAAGCUUAAGUAGCUGUCAUGCCUUAUCCAAAGUUUAGAUUAAAA